UUCCCAUCUCAGGUACCAUGCAUGCUAGGUUAUAGAAAAUAGCUAAGUUCUAACAUAGAUGAGCAGGGAUCCAAUAUUAUCAUCUGAUCUUAAUUCUUAAACUCCAGUAGUGGAAUAAAUUAAAUUGGUAUAUUUUGCAAAGAUUAACUUUUAAAUAUGAAUCUUUGCUGCAGGGGUUUCUCCCUGUUGAAGCUUUGAUUUCUGAAGUUGAAGUUUGGGGA
rnacentral:misc_RNA from 1 species